GGAAUCUUCCACAAUGGACGCAAGUCUGAUGGAGCAACNCCGCGUGAGUGAAGAAGGUCUUCGGAUCGUAAAACUCUGUUGUUAGAGAAGAAUGACAUUGAGAGUAACUGUUCAAUGUGUGACGGUAUCUUACCAGAAAGGAACGGCUAAAUACGUGCCAG
rnacentral:rRNA from 1 species